rnacentral:rRNA from 1 species
AACGAACGCUGGCGGCAUGCCUAACACAUGCAAGUCGAACGAGACCUUCGGGUCUAGUGGCGCACGGGUGCGUAACGCGUGGGAACCUGCCCUUAGGUUCGGAAUAACUCUCCGAAAGGGGUGCUAAUACCGGAUAAUGUCUUCGGACCAAAGAUUUAUCGCCUUUGGAUGGGCCCGCGUUGGAUUAGCUAGUUGGUAGGGUAAAAGCCUACCAAGGCGACGAUCCAUAGCUGGUCUGAGAGGCUGAUCAGCCACACUGGGACUGAGACACGGCCCAGACUCCUACGGGAGGCAGCAGUGGGGAAUAUUGGACAAUGGGCGAAAGCCUGAUCCAGCAAUGCCGCGUGAGUGAUGAAGGCCUUAGGGUUGUAAAGCUCUUUUACCCGGGAUGAUAAUGACAGUACCGGGAGAAUAAGCUCCGGCUAACUCCGUG